AUCGAACGCUGGCGGCAGGCUUAACACAUGCAAGUCGAGCGGAGCGGCGGACGGGAGAGUAAGGCUUAGGCAUCUGCCAACUCGUGGUGGACGAGAUCCCGAAAGGGAAGCCAAUACCGCAUACUAAUAGAUGAGCUUUAGUCGGAUUAGCUAGGUGGGGGGGUAAAGGGCUACCAAGGCGACGAGGUGUAGCGGGUCUGGGAGGAUGAUCCGCCAAACUGGGACUGAGAAACGGCCCAGACUCCUACGGGAGGCAGCAGUGGGGAAUCUUGGGCAAUGGAGGAAACGCUGAUCGAGCAAUGCCGCGUGUGUGAAGACGGCCUUAUGGUUGUAAAGCUCUGUAAAUCAGGAGGCGGUACUCGCAGAAUAAGCACCGGCUAACUAUGUGCCAGCAGCCGCGGUAAUUC
rnacentral:rRNA from 1 species